rnacentral:rRNA from 1 species
CUGCCAGUGAUAAACUGGAGGAAGGUGGGGAUGACGUCAAGUCAUCAUGGCCCUUACGACCAGGGCUACACACGUGCUACAAUGGCGCAUACAAAGAGAAGCGACCUCGCGAGAGCAAGCGGAUCUCAUAAAGUGCGUCGUAGUCCGGAUUGGAGUCUGCAACUCGACUCCAUGAAGUCGGAAUCGCUAGUAAUCGUGGAUCAGAAUGCCACGGUGAAUACGUUCCCGGGCCUUGUACACACCGCCCGUCACACCAUGGGAGUGGGUUGCAAAAGAAGUAGGUAGCUUAACCUUCGGGAGGGCGCUUACCACUUUGUGAUUCAUGACUGGGGUGAAGUCGUAACAAGGUAACCGUAGGGGAACCUGCGGUUGGAUCACCUCCUUACCUUAAAGAAGC